rnacentral:rRNA from 1 species
UACGGAGGAUGCGAGCGUUAUCCGGAUUUAUUGGGUUUAAAGGGUGCGUAGGCGGCGCGGCAAGUCUGAUGUGAAAGCCCGGGGCUCAACCCCGGGACUGCAUUGGAAACUGUCGCGCUCGAGUGUCGGAGAGGUAAGUGGAAUUCCUAGUGUAGCGGUGAAAUGCGUAGAUAUUAGGAGGAACACCAGUGGCGGAGGCGGCUUGCUGGACGAUGACUGACGUUGAGGCUCGAAAGCGUGGGGAGCAAACAGG